rnacentral:rRNA from 1 species
UACGUAGGGUGCAAGCGUUAAUCGGAAUUACUGGGCGUAAAGCGCGCGUAGGUGGUUCGGCAAGUUGAACGUGAAAUCCCCGGGCUCAACCCGGGAACUGCGUCCGAUACUGGAAGGCUUGAAUCCGGGAGAGGGAUGUGGAAUUCCAGGUGUAGCGGUGAAAUGCGUAGAUAUCUGGAGGAACACCGGUGGCGAAGGCGACAUCCUGGACCGGUAUUGACGCUGAGGCGCGAAAGCCAGGGGAGCAAACGGG